ensembl:lncRNA
CCUCUCUCUCUCUCCCUCCCCCUCUCUCUCUCUCAGGCACACGCCACAGAUUACAUAACGCCUCCCAAGCCCUGCGACGCAGCUCAGCUAAACAAAGACGCCCCAGCCUCUGCAGAAACACAGCGAGCACCACACAAGCUUCAGUGUGUGGGUGUGUGCGAGUGUGCAUCUCUGCCUUUGUGCAUGUGUGUUUGAGUGUGUUUGUCCCGUGUGUGUGUGUGUGUGUUUGUGUUUGUGUGUCAGGUUUUUUUCAGUCUUAAUUUGUACAUGUUUAUGUCUCAGUGUGUGUGUGUGUGUGUGUGUGUGUGUAUUCAUGUUGUCAUGUCUCUGUGUGUGCAUGCUCUUUUUGAGUAUUGUCUAUAUCGAUAACAUGUCCAAGUGUGCAGUGUGUUUGUGUGCACAUGUUUAUGUGGUUAUUUGAGAGAGUGUGCGUGUGUGUGUGUAUGCGUGUGUGAGUUGCAGCCCGGUGGUGUAGCAUGAGAAAGCCUCUACCUAAUCUACAACUACACACAGAGAUGAUGCAUGACCAGUGUGCGAGUGUGUGUGCAUGUGCGCGCGCGUGCGUGUGUAUAUCUGUGUGUGCUUGUGCGUGUGUGUGUGUCUGUGCGUGUGUGUGCGUGCGUGAAUAUCUGUGUGUGCUUGUGCAUGUGCGUGUGUGCAUGUGUGUGUGUGCGCGCGCGUGCGUGUGUGUGGUUGUGUGUGCGUGUGUGUGUUGUCCUGGCAGAGAAAGCAUGAGGGCUUGACAUGGCUCCAAGAAGCCAAGUAUAGGUGCCCCGUGCUGGGCCGAGUCCCAGUGCUCUGCCCCUCUGCCUGGCUCUCAGCACCCGGGUGGGGAGGGCCUUCUAGCGGUGGUUAGGGGGUUCGGACUCUCAGUCUAACGGUUCUGGGGUCUGUAUUCACUGUCUAGCCCCGACCUGCUCCUUAAUGACCUGUCUCUGUAUUCACUGUCUAACCCCUACCUGCUCCUUGAUGUUCUGUCUCUGUAUUCACUGUCUAACCCCUACCUGCUCCUUAAUGACCCGUCUCUGUAUUCACUGUCUAACCCCUACCUGCUCCUUGAUGUUCUGUCUCUGUAUUCACUGUCU